rnacentral:rRNA from 1 species
CCUACGGGUGGCAGCAGUGGGGGAUAUUGCACAAUGGGGGAAACCCUGAUGCAGCGACGCCGCGUGAGUGAAGAAGUAUUUCGGUAUGUAAACUUCUUUUCUGAGGGACGAAGAAAGUGACGGUACCUCAGGAAUAAGCCACGGCUAACUACGUGCCAGCAGCCGCGGUAAUACGUAGGUGGCAAGCGUUAUCCGGAUUUAUUGGGUGUAAAGGGCGUGUAGGCGGGAAAGCAAGUCAGAUGUGAAAACUCAGGGCUCAACCCUGAGCCUGCAUUUGAAACUGUUUUUCUUGAGUGCUGGAGAGGCAAUCGGAAUUCCGUGUGUAGCGGUGAAAUGCGUAGAUAGACGGAGGAACACCAGUGGCGAAGGCGGAUUGCUGGACAGUAACUGACGCUGAGGCGCGAAAGCGUGGGGAGCAAACAGGAUUAGAUACCCCUGUAGUC